UUUCAGAAGUAAACGCAGGAGGGAGGCUAGUAGAAACAGGGAAGAAUGUCGCAGAUAUGGAAGAAACUUUUGAUGAAUAAAUAUAUAUGACCCUGCAUUUCAAGGAAAUGAUCAAAAUCUAAACAAUGAAACAAGUUUAGUUUUGUAAGAAAUGAAAUAAAUAUUUCUGUGUGCA